rnacentral:tRNA from 1 species
GUCUUUAUGGUGAAAAUAUCACAUCACUUUUUCAAGGUGAAGUUGAGUUUAAAAUUCUAAAGAUA